ACCGUACUCCUACGGGAGGCAGCAGUGGGGAAUAUUGGACAAUGGGCGAAAGACUGAUCCAGCCAUGCCGCGUGAGUGAUGAAAGCCUUCGGGUUGUAAAGCUCUUUUACCCGGGAUGAUAAUGACAGUACCGGGAGAAUAUGCACCGUCUAACUCCGUGCCAGCAGCCGCGGUAAUACGGAGGGAGCUAGCGUUAUUCGGAAUUACUGGGAGUAAAGCGCACGUAGGCGGCUUUGUAAGUUAGAGGUGAAAGCCUGGAGCUCAACUCCAGAAUUGCCUUUAAGACUGCAUCGCUCGAAUCCAGGAGAGGUGAGUGGAAUUCCGAGUGUAGAGGUGAAAUUCGUAGAUAUUCGGAAGAACACCAGUGGCGAAGGCGGCUCACUGGACUGGUAUUGACGCUGAGGUGCGAAAGCGUGGGGAGCAAACAGGAUUAGAAACCCGAGUAGUCCUUGAC
rnacentral:rRNA from 1 species